ACCCCUGCGUCCUAACGUCUUGCUCAUCCACUUGUGACCAUUUCAGACUUCAGACCUUGAAGAAACAUCGUCCAGAAGCUCCCAAGAGCUCACCUCGCUCGGAAACCUGGACGAAGAGUUAAAAGGUGCUGAGAAAGAAAAAGGCUCCGACGCUCCAGAGGUGCCCUUCAACGCUCUGGGAAACAGACCGCGACUUCAGGAAGAGGGUCAACUCGAUGCCGAGCUGGUCGAGAAAGGUCGCCGGCGAAUGAAGGACACCUUUGAGCAUUACCGGAGAAAAAGAGCCCUGAGGAAAAUGCACAAGGUCCGGGCCCACGCGGUGGAUUGGAAGCACAGCUCAGGCAGCGACAACACGGAUACCGAGGGCUCCUAACGGCGGCGGGGGCUCCGCGCGGAAAGGGGUGCGAUCAGCUGCCGUUGUGACUUUAAAACGUCCGCGCUCCUGCGGCCGGCCGCUGUCUCGGCUUCCCUUGAAGAAAGAGCCGCUGGGACAAACCCAUCGUGCCGAGGGAGAUGCUCCCGAUCCAUCCACGAAAGUUUACCGACUGCAGGACGGUUAUUUUUCGUGGACUAGAAAGGCCGGAUUGGCCGCCUCUGGCUGUGAAGGACCAGCAGUUUCUUUUAUUUGAGGAAGAAAAAGUCGUGCCCGAGGCUGGGAGACCCUUCUUUUUUUUUAAAGACCUUUUGCUUCAAGUCAGGCUGGAGGGAGGGAAAUGGAAACGAAAGACACCCCAGGACGGCAGGGUUUGGACCAAGGAGGGUUUUUAGAAGCUAGCCUUGAAUAUUGUGACGCUUUUUGAGGUCCGGUUGGAAAGGACUCGAUCCGAUCGUCUUGGGUUUCGAUGCCCUGCCUGGACUGGGGGGGUUGGACUAGAUGGCCUUUGAGGGCCCCUUCUUGCUCUGUGAUUCUAUGAAAAUGCCGCAUCCUGGCGACCGUGGGGACCGCCUGGAGCCAAAGUGGAUGGGGGUUAGGGCAUCAUCUUCUUCCUCUGUGUGCUGUAUGCAUGUUACAAUGUGUCCUAUUUAAAGUGUUUAUUUAUUUAAC